rnacentral:lncRNA from 1 species
GGAUUGGCUUGGAUGCUGGCUUUGUUCCUUGGAUGUGGACGGCCGUGUGGGAUGAUGUGUAAAUGGCUGGGAAAUGUGAAUGGGUGUGGCUGGGAUCCAACAUGGAUGAGAAAAAUUUGUUCCAUUCUUUGGACAUGGGAGGGAAGAGUGACGUGGAUACGAGUCACUACCAACGCGAAGGAAACUUGCGUUGAGCUGAAUUGUGGAAGAGAAGAGAUACAUGAUAGACGUUGGACUACUAGGAUGGAAGCCCGAUUCUUAGAUGUAGGAGGUGCGUGUGGUUUGGGUUCAGAUAUUAUCCCAAUUAGUUCGACUCGACCUGCACACAUUAGACUGACCAAUAAAAAGAAAAUCAAUCAAACUUGAAUAAUUUAUUUAAAAUGAAAUGAUGAAGGAAAACACAUUUUUUUAGUUAAAUUUAUAAAAUAUGUGAAUUAAAAUAAUGAUAAGUGCUAUGAAUAAGAUAUUAGUUUAUGCAUUAUUUAGCACUUAUCACACCUCCCAACCUACAUUUUGCUAGUCCUCAAGCAAAAUAAAAACUAACUCACUUUCGCAGGAAUCGCGAUUGCAUUUACCGUAUACAAUAAGGCUUUAAACCCCUAGGUAGCCGUAGUGGACGAGUUUUGUCUCGUGAGGGUUUCCGGCUCAGAUACCCACAAACUGCUGUCGAAAGAAUUUAUUUUAUUGUUUUAUAAAAUCUAAUUUCAAAUGCCUUAAUGUCAAGAAUUUCAAAAGCACACAAAGUUUUAAUUACUAAUUCAGCCCAAAUCCUAGGUCAGUAUGCAACUUAAGUUGAAGUCAUUAAGUUUCUAUUAGAGAGUUGUAAGACUUAUUUAUAUUCGGGUGCUCAGUGAUAUCUGGACCUUACACAAGCUAAGGCUUUAGAUUCCCCAAAAUACUGCUGAAGCUAGUAAUUUUCAAGAAUUGAUCAGAUAAGACCUAAUCACUGAUUCAAAAUCAUCCUAUCUUGCAGGAUUUCAAGAGUUGUGGAUAUUUACUUUAAUACCUCAUGGGCUUGAUCUGUAAUAUUCCAGUUUACUCGAAUUUUUACAACGACGGCUUUCACACUAUCGUCUUUCUU